UCGAGUGAAUUCGUGACGUAAGUCGUGGCACAAGGAGAUCUCCGUCCGUGACUGCCUGCCACCGAACCUUCUUUCUCGAUCUCCUGACGUCUCCGCUCCAUCGCCGGCGCCCUCCGCCGCCUGGCCCCUCUAGGUUGCGCUCUUGUCGUCGUCGACGACGUCGUAUUCUCCGGUUUCGUCUCAUGUUUUCACCCUGGCUUCAUGGCCGCCGUGUCCUCUGACGAUUGGCUUCUCCAUCGAAGGACCGCCACUUGCAUCUUUGUCCCCGGAGGAAUAGGCAGGCAUUGCCGCGCUUCCGACCGACGCCGUUGGGCAAGAAUGAACUGUUCAUUUAUUUUUAGGGCAAACCCCAAUAUCCAGUUCAUCAUCUUCCACACAACUGUAGGUUCUCUACUGGUGGAAACGACCAGGAAUCGAUUUGGAAUCUGCUCAUUCGGAUGCUACAACAGGCUGUUUAGAGCAAUCAAGUCAACCAAAGUCUCAAGCUCCAUUCCAGUCUCAAUAGAAACAUACAAGAAAGUGCUUUCGGAAUAACUGCAUUUGGAGACGAUCUAUGAUUUGGAUGUGGAUGUAGCAUAUAAGUCGAGAUCAAGGAUGCAAAGAUGUCUUUAGGUGUUUCUCUCUGAUCUUUUCUUUCUCUACCAUGAGAGUGAUUUGUAAAUUUCACAUGUAAGAGAAAGUACUGAACACUCUUUGAUUUGUUUCCCAGUUGUAAUGGGCUCCCAAUGUCCUAAAGCUAAAAACUGGGUUAGCAUUUGUCUCUCAUGUACUGUUAAAAUGCAUAAUAAACUCAACAUCUCUGUUCUUGUUGUUGCAGGUAA